AAAGUGCUACAAAACUAAUAAAAAAAUAUCAUUAAUCAAAGAUAACUUUUUUAUACUGCAACAUAUAAUAGUAAGAACUUUCCCGACAUCGGUGUAUGCAUAAGAGAGGUUUUUAUUUGAAGCGAUAAGCUCGCGAACAGCUCAUUCCUUCCGCCACCGUCUUUACGCUGCGUUGUGCAUCGUGUGUGAUAAGUAAACGUUUCGUAAACUCAAAUCAAAAUGCGUCUGAUUAUCCUCGACACGGCUGCGUACGUUGGCGAAUGGUCGGCCAAGUACGUGAUGAAGCGCAUCAACGACUUCAAGCCAGGUCCGGAUCGGUACUUUACGCUCGGCCUGCCGACCGGAUCGACACCGCUCGGCAUGUACCGGAAUCUGAUCAAGUUCCACGAGCAGGGACGCAUCUCGUUCAAGUACGUCAAAACAUUCAACAUGGACGAGUACGUGGAUUUGCCGCGGGAUCAUCCGGAAAGCUACCACUUCUUCAUGUGGCACAAUUUCUUCAAGCACAUCGACAUCGAUCCGGAGAAUGUACACAUACUCGAUGGCAAUGCGCCCGAUCUGGUGGCCGAGUGUAAUGCAUUCGAGGAGAAGAUAAAGGCAGCGGGUGGCAUUGAACUGUUUAUCGGUGGCAUCGGUCCGGAUGGUCAUAUUGCGUUCAACGAGCCUGGAUCGUCGUUGGCAUCGCGGACACGCGUGAAAACGCUCGCACAGGAUACGCUGGAGGCAAACGCACGGUUCUUUGGGAACGAUAUAAGCAAGGUGCCGAAACAGGCCCUGACGGUCGGUGUGGCCACGGUGAUGGAUGCACGCGAGGUAAUGAUCAUGAUCCUUGGAUCGCACAAAGCGUUUGCACUGUAUAAGGCGAUCGAGGAGGGUGUGAACCACAUGUGGACAGUCAGUGCAUUCCAGCAACAUCCGCACACGAUCAUGAUCUGUGACGAGGACGCCACACUAGAGCUACGUGUGAAAACUGUGAAAUAUUUCAAGGACUGCUACAAACUGUCAGCCGAUGGGUUCGAACAGGCAUUGGCCCGCAAUUGAUACAAGGGUGGUAUCAGUUUCACUGCAUGUUUUUUCUUUUUGUGCUAUCAACUCAACUAUCGGUCUGGAUUCUCCUCUCAAAGAACUACGGGUUGCUGAAAGCGAAUAGUUCUCCUUCUUACGCCUUCCAUCCCUCCAAUCCCUGAUGCACAUCCGUGCGGUGAAGCAAUGCGGUCAAAGAUGACAGUGGCCUGAUGGAUGUACACUCGAAACUGAUCGAGGAUGAUGCACCGAAAUAAAUCUCACACAAUCAUAUGGCGGUGGAGGAAAAAUGAACAAAAAAUAUACAACAAAACCAUAUCUACCUAAGUAUUUCGGUUUGGGCGAUGGAAUCGAACUUUGUUACAAAGUGUUUAAAAUAGUGACAAAAUGUUAACAGUAAGCCGGAAAAGUGUUGUUAUGUUUAGCUUUUCUUGCUUGUACAAUUAUUUCUUUAUUUGAAUUCAAAUGCUAAGCCAAGCUGUGGUGAUCAAACAGAAGCUUUCAUAAAACAACAACAGAUAAUAAAUGAUAGAACAAUUUUAAUAAAAUUA